CGGGGUGAGUAACGCGUGGGCAACCUGCCUUGCACUGGGGGAUAACAGCCAGAAAUGGCUGCUAAUACCGCAUAAGACCGAAGCGCCGCACGGCGCGGCGGCCAAAGCCCCGGCGAUGCAAGAUGGGCCCGCGUCUGAUUAGGUAGUUGGCGGGGUAACGGCCCACCAAGCCGACGAUCAGUAGCCGACCUGAGAGGGUGACCGGCCACAUUGGGACUGAGACACGGCCCAG
rnacentral:rRNA from 1 species